AGAAAACUGACUUUCACAGCAUUAAUCAUAAUGAACAAUGAACUAGAACUUACCGUAGUUGCAGGUUCUACAUCUACUUAUUGAUCUAGGUAGAACAGUUUUGUUAGAAAUUGACACAUACAAAAGUCCCAAACAGAAAUUAAAUGUAAAAUGGCAAACUCAAAAGGCUAAACAAGAUGCCAAAGAAACUGAAAGCAUGUGUUUUAAAUCUUAAAGGAAUAAUCUCAAAAUUCAAGCAAACAGCAAACUAUUCCUUUCAAGGACUAUCCUCCGAAGAUGACAAAUUCUGACUCAA
rnacentral:lncRNA from 1 species